rnacentral:rRNA from 1 species
CCAGACUCCUACGGGAGGCAGCAGUGAGGAAUAUUGGUCAAUGGGCGAGAGCCUGAACCAGCCAAGUCGCGUGAAGGAUGACGGCCCUACGGGUUGUAAACUUCUUUUGUCAGGGAGCAAUUGGGUCCACGCGUGGGCUUAGCGAGAGUACCUGAAGAAAAAGCAUCGGCUAACUCCGUGCCAGCAGCCGCGGUAAUACGGAGGAUGCGAGCGUUAUCCGGAUUUAUUGGGUUUAAAGGGUGCGUAGGCGGAAUAUCAAGUCAGCGGUAAAAAUUCGGGGCUCAACCCCGUCCGGCCGUUGAAACUGGGGGCCUUGAGUGGGCGAGAAGAAGGCGGAAUGCGUGGUGUAGCGGUGAAAUGCAUAGAUAUCACGCAGAACCCCGAUUGCGAAGGCAGCCUUCCGGCGCCCUACUGACGCUGAGGCACGAAAGUGCGGGGAUCGAACAGGAUUAGAUACCCCAGUA